AAUCAACGCUGGCGGCGUGCCUAACACAUGCAAGUCGAACGCGAAAAUCCCGCAAGGGACUAGUAGAGUGGCAAACGGGUGAGUAACGCGUGGGCGACCUACCUCAGAGUGGGGGAUAACCUUCCGAAAGGAGGGCUAAUACCGCAUGACAUCCCGUGUUUGGAUACACGGACAUCAAAGCCGGGGAUCGCAAGACCUGGCGCUUGGAGAGGGGCCCGCGUCCGAUUAGCUAGUUGGUGAGGUAACGGCUCACCAAGGCUCCGAUCGGUAUCCGGCCUGAGAGGGCGGACGGACACACUGGGACUGAGACACGGCCCAGACUCCUACGGGAGGCAGCAGUGGGGAAUUGUUCGCAAUGGGCGCAAGCCUGACGACGCAACGCCGCGUGGAGGAUGAAGGACUUCGGUCCGUAAACUCCUUU
rnacentral:rRNA from 1 species